rnacentral:lncRNA from 10 species
AGUAACACAUGACAUCUUUCUCCCUCGAAUUAAAAUGUGACUUGGUUCACCGGUUAAAACGCAGAGGGAGAUGGAAAUGACCAGGAGUCGAAAGGAGAAGAUAAGAGUGCAGUGGUGCAGUCAUGGCUCACUGCAGCGUCUGCCUCCUGGACUCAAAGAAUCCUCCUACCUCAGCCUCCCAAGUAGCUAGGACCACAGAGUUGUGCUCUCCUGCAGCGUUUUGCGGACGGCUGGCUAUCUUACCCAGAAUCAAUCACACUGGGACACUGAAAAAAAAAAAAAAGGAAAAAAGAGCGAGGGAGUAAUUCUAGCCUGUUUUUACAAGAACACAGUGGCUAUAGACAGUGCCAGUGUGAAGAUGACUCAGCAAACGUGGAGAACCAAAGAUUCUAGGGCAGCACCAAAACUGGGAAAGCAAUUACAGCAGAAGUUGCCUUCCCCAUGGUAGCUUAGCAACUUCGUGUCUCUCCAAGGCAGAGAGGAAAAUCAAGUCUAACAGGCCUUCCCGAAGGCUAGGUGUGAAAUACCAGAAGCCAUCUUUGUUUCUGGCGAUGUCACUAAAUAAGUAUUUGUUGAUAUAAAGUAUUACA